rnacentral:rRNA from 1 species
UACGAAGGGGGCUAGCGUUGCUCGGAAUCACUGGGCGUAAAGCGCACGUAGGCGGACUCUUAAGUCAGAGGUGAAAUCCUGGAGCUCAACUCCAGAACUGCCUUUGAUACUGAGAGCCUUGAGUUCGGGAGAGGUGAGUGGAACUGCGAGUGUAGAGGUGAAAUUCGUAGAUAUUCGCAAGAACACCAGUGGCGAAGGCGGCUCACUGGCCCGAUACUGACGCUGAGGUGCGAAAGCGUGGGGAGCAAACAGGAU